UGAACAGAUAAUCAGACCAUUGAUAUGGUUUAUAUUGAAGAUUCUUUAAGCUUUAGGAGAUACCGAGGGCACGUCAGAGUCUGAUGACCCAGCAAUGUUGAUUAGAAGUCCUCCUGAAAAAAUCAAGUUGAGGAACGUCGUCUUGCCCAAAUGUUCGAAGAUAUCCUAAAGAGCAGCCCUGGAGGUGAAAAGGUCAUAAAAAAAUACGCACACACUAAAAGUCUGUCAGAUGGCCGAAGACGUGACAUGGUGAAAAUCUUGGUAGCACAUUUGACAAAUGAACAUGGAACAAGCCCUUCCCGAAGUUUAAAAGAAGAAUGUGCAAAGGGAAUCACCGCCCUAUUCCCAUACUUGGUUGACCCCAGGAAAAAGUUUAG